UACGUAGGGUGCGAGCGUUGUCCGGAAUUACUGGGCGUAAAGAGCUCGUAGGUGGUUUGUCGCGUUGUUCGUGAAAUCUCACGGCUUAACUGUGAGCGUGCGAGCGAUACGGGCAGACUGGAGUACUGCAGGGGAGACUGGAAUUCCUGGUGUAGCGGUGGAAUGCGCAGAUAUCAGGAGGAACACCGGUGGCGAAGGCGGGUCUCUGGGCAGUAACUGACGCUGAGGAGCGAAAGCGUGGGGAGCGAACAGG
rnacentral:rRNA from 1 species